rnacentral:rRNA from 1 species
AUUGAACGCUGGCGGCAUGCCUUACAUAUGCAAGUCGAACGGCAGCACGGGAGCAAUCCUGGUGGCGAGUGGCGAACGGGUGAGUAAUAUAUCGGAACGUGUCCAGUCGUGGGGAUAACGUAGCGAAAGCUACGCUAAUACCGCAUACGAUCUACGGAUGAAAGCGGGGGAUCGCAAGACCUCGCGCGAUUGGAGCGGCCGAUAUCAGAUUAGGUAGUUGGUGAGGUAAAGGCUCACCAAGCCGACGAUCUGUAACUGGUCUGAGAGGAUGAUCAGUCACACUGGAACUGAGACACGGUCCAGACUCCUACGGGAGGCAGCAGUGGGGGAAUAUUGGACAAUGGGCGGAAGCCUGAUCCAGCCAUGCCGCGUGUGUGAAGAAGGUCUUCGGAUUGUAAAGACACUUUAAGUUGGGUAGGAAGGGUA